rnacentral:rRNA from 1 species
GUACACUCCUACGGGAGGCAGCAGUGGGGAAUUUUGGACAAUGGGCGAAAGCCUGAUCCAGCAAUGCCGCGUGAGUGAAGAAGGCCUUCGGGUUGUAAAGCUCUUUUGUCAGGGAAGAAACGGUGAAAGCUAAUAUCUUUUGCUAAUGACGGUACCUGAAGAAUAAGCACCGGCUAACUACGUGCCAGCAGCCGCGGUAAUACGUAGGGUGCAAGCGUUAAUCGGAAUUACUGGGCGUAAAGCGUGCGCAGGCGGUUUUGUAAGUCUGAUGUGAAAUCCCCGGGCUCAACCUGGGAAUUGCAUUGGAGACUGCAAGGCUAGAAUCUGGCAGAGGGGGGUAGAAUUCCACGUGUAGCAGUGAAAUGCGUAGAUAUGUGGAGGAACACCGAUGGCGAAGGCAGCCCCCUGGGUCAAGAUUGACGCUCAUGCACGAAAGCGUGGGGAGCAAACAGGAUUAGAUACCCUUGUAGUCCCA